ACAGUACAAACUGAGCAGGCGAUGAACCGUUUGAGUUCGUGGGGCUGGGCCUUAAUUGGCAGCAGAUAGGCUAUAUAAGCAUCUGUGGGACAGU
rnacentral:ncRNA from 1 species